CUGGAAAGCAAGUGAAAGAGGAGGAAUAACAAUAAGCAGUGCAGGAAGUUUUAAGGACCAGCAGCAGUGCUACCUCAUCAGACUGCAGCAGACAGCAAACAAGGAAGCGGGCACAUUUGCCAUUUGUAUGAAUAGCUUUGCAAGGCAACCCAACUCCUUUCAAAAAGAGCGUUACUUCAGCUUCUUCCAGAGUGGUGCAUGCUAGAAGAAGAACAUACCUCAGAAAAUAGCAUCUCACCUGAGUUAUAUGUUGAUACAUUAGCAGCAUUUUACAUUCAUGUCUUGCCUUUGGCAUAAUCUACUCUUGUACUUUCCAUUGUAAGACUGUGGUAUAGUUGGAUAGAUACCUGCGGACAAGUUACUCAUACCUUCAC
rnacentral:lncRNA from 1 species